AUGUCACAUGAUUGUAAGUCACUUUGGAUAAAUGUGUCUGCUAAAUGGCAUACA
rfam:Salmo salar isolate Sally breed double haploid chromosome ssa16, whole genome shotgun sequence.